AUUGAUUGGAGGUAAAUUACUAACUGACCAAAUAUCCCCAAUAAUGUUUAUUGUUGAAGAUAGUGAUAUUAGAGCAUUAAGAAUCUAAGUAUUUGCAAAAACACUGGUAGGAGAAGUAAGAGGCUAAAAGUUGUCUCAAUUCGGAAAAAUAUCCUCUAUGAUGAAAACUAGAAUAAUAUCCAUAUGAUAAGUAAAUCAAGUAAAUAGGUUGCUCAAAGCUCUCUAAAAUGAAAGAAUGGUAUAGACCUCUAAACUCUCUAUAUGUGAUGAUUUUGAUGCAGAUCGCGACAUAAUCAACAAUAACAAACUCUUUGGUCCUUUAUUUCACAACAUAACAAAUUUAUAACUUAUAUUACUAAUUGCAUCGCACAUUUAAUAUCCCUAUGCAAAUUGAAAAUUAGUUGGGUGAUGGGAUAUGGUUGGUUAAGAAAGAUAAGAAUCAUCAUAUAUAACUAUGAAGAAAAACAUGUCUAUAAGUAAACAUUGAUGAAGACAACUUGAAAGACAUGAUUAAACAAUGGACUAGAUACCAUACUUGCUAUAAGCAAAUCUGAUGGUAGCAAAAGCUUAAGCCCAAAUAUCAUGUAUUGGUUCAAAAGUGCAUCUAAACAAGUCCUCAAACUACCUCUUUGAACAAAUUAUCACAUCACUAAAAAGAAAUGGUUGGGAACGUAUCAACAUUGUCCAAGGCUAGACACUUCGUAAGGUGAAGUUGUUGGCCUCAAGGAUGAGAGAAGGUUCUUAUCAUUCCAACCCUUUAGAAUAUUACAGUAAUUAUCUGAUUACAUAAGAGGACUCUUCUAAAACCCACUUACUUGAGGGGUUUUAUUCUACUUAGGAGAAUUUUCUCUCACCAAAGGUUGUUCUCCUCUUUGAGGGAUUUUUUUCUUACUUUGGGAAAUCUUCCUCUUUUAACACUAUUUCCCAACUCGAGGGAAAUUAAUGGCCUUUCCCAAAAAUUUAUUCACUUAUUCCUAGUAAGUAAUCUCUUUUAGUAGUAUUUAAGAUUUUUAUGCUUUCAUAUAAUACGAUAUAUUACAGUUGUUGCUUAUUCGCCAUCUCCAAUUAGCUUCGGAGUGAAGCUGUAAUAUACCACCUAUCACUGUACUAAAAUGCUUUAGAAACUCAAAUUAUUUGCGUGCACAGUGGCGGCGGGGUGUGUACACAGCACUCAUGACCCAUCCGCAUGCACACACGCACUGGACGUGCGCACAACGUGCACGUUCCAUCUGCGCUCAUGGCGAGGGGUUGGGACCUGCGAGCACGUCCUGUCGAGUGCAGGCUGGUCGUCCGCGCAUCACUCCACCGCACAGACUAGCACCGCACACUGUGCAUGCACCGUUUGUACAACAGGCCUACGCAGAUAGGCCCUGUGUGCCUAGGGCCUGCGCACAGUAGGCCUGUGCGCGUGGCACCCAAUACACCAAGGCCCUAUGCGCGCAUAGGCUAGCCCAUGCAUGCGCAGCAGGCAUGUGCACCUGCAGUGCAUUGGCCAGACACUGCCUUGAGCGGCGCGCUGUCCCUGUCGGUGGAGGAAAUUUUCCUCCCUCAUUUUUUAUGCCAAAAAUCUUUCCCUAUCUCUCUUCAUCUAAUUUUACAACUUGGCACGAAUCCAACGGUUCGAAUAUUCUAUAAAUUGCCUUCUUCUUCCCUUCCUCUCCACAGUUCAAUUUUUUCCAUUUCUCAAAGGUUUAGAGAGAGAAAGAAAGAG
rnacentral:lncRNA from 1 species